GACGAACGCUGGCGGCGUGCUUAACACAUGCAAGUCGAACGGGAAGGCCCUGCUUUUGUGGGGUGCUCGAGUGGCGAACGGGUGAGUAACACGUGAGUAACCUGCCCUUGACUUUGGGAUAACUUCAGGAAACUGGGGCUAAUACCGGAUAGGAGCUCCUGCUGCAUGGUGGGGGUUGGAAAGUUUCGGCGGUUGGGGAUGGACUCGCGGCUUAUCAGCUUGUUGGUGGGGUAGUGGCUUACCAAGGCUUUGACGGGUAGCCGGCCUGAGAGGGUGACCGGCCACAUUGGGACUGAGAUACGGCCCAGACUCCUACGGGAGGCAGCAGUGGGGAAUAUUGCACAAUGGGCGGAAGCCUGAUGCAGCAACGCCGCGUGCGGGAUGACAGCCUUCGGGUUGUAAACCGCUUUCGCCUGUGACGAAGCGUGAGUGACGGUAAUGGGUAAAGAAGCACCGGCUAACUACGUG
rnacentral:rRNA from 1 species